UACGUAGGGACCGAGCGUUGUCCGGAAUCAUUGGGCGUAAAGAGCGUGUAGGCGGCCACUUAAGUCCUGCGUGAAAUCUUGCGGCUCAACCGCAAGCGGUCGUGGGAAACUGGGUGGCUAGAGUGCGGGAGAGGAGAGUGGAAUUCCUGGUGUAGCGGUGGAAUGCGCAGAUAUCAGGAAGAACACCCGUGGCGAAGGCGGUUCUCUGGGCCUGUACUGACGCUGAGGAGCGAAAGCGUGGGGAGCGAACAGG
rnacentral:rRNA from 1 species